UACGAAGGGGGCUAGCGUUGUUCGGAAUUACUGGGCGUAAAGCGCACGUAGGCGGAUUGUUAAGUCGGGGGUGAAAUCCUGAGGCUCAACCUCAGAACUGCCUUCGAUACUGGCGAUCUUGAGUUCGGAAGAGGUUGGUGGAACAGCUAGUGUAGAGGUGAAAUUCGUAGAUAUUAGGAAGAACACCAGUGGCGAAGGCAGCCCCCUGGGUCGACACUGACGCUCAGGCACGAAAGCGUGGGGGAGCAAACAGG
rnacentral:rRNA from 1 species